GCGCGAAACCCACCACAAGAUGAGAUUUCUUUUAAGGAUCCCUAAAGACGAUAGGGUAGAUAGGCUACAGGUGUAAAGGCAGUAAUGUCAUAGCCGAGUAGUACUAAUCAUCCGUUUAACUUUUUUUU
rnacentral:rRNA from 1 species